rnacentral:misc_RNA from 1 species
AACGCAAAUUGCGCUCGAGGCCUCGGCCAAGAGCACGUCUGGCUCAGCGUCGGCUUACUACCCUCAACCAAUUCCAGUAUGGCAAUUGAUUGGAGCUGGCUUUCCGGUGUUCCGAUUAGGUUGCCGGUCAGCUCAAAAAUAUUCGCGCUGUGGGAGCUGCUUUCCCUUCAAAAAGGAAAGCCGAGUUCCGAUUUGGUAGGUGACCUUUGCCGGUUGCAUGCCUUCGUUGCUCGCAAUGGCUUCCAUGAAAGCGUGUGCAGGACGCCUUUUUGGCUUUCGACCUGAGCUCAGGCAAGAACACCCGCUGAACUUAA